UGCUCUUCCCCUUCCCCCUCUUGCUCCCCCUCUCCUCUUCCUGAUUCUCUCCUCUUUCCCCUCCUCUGAGCAGCCAUAUUACAUAGCUUACUCAUGUUGAACUUGUGCUGCUAGUAAGCUUUGUUUCUCCCUUGCUGUGCAUGUACAGUUCUUUCCCUUGGAUGUUUUCUGCCAAAUGUUUUUCAUUGAUGACUUUGCUGUUUAGGUCCCUUUGUCUGUCUUCCUUCCUUUCCCCUUCCUGCUCUGUGAUGUUCUUGUUUACACACCUCUCCACUGUGAGCCUGGUGUUUCAGUGACUGGAGAAGUUAUCUGAGCUUCUUUCCAUGUUGUCACUGAUGUUCACACAGCUUGAUCCAUUCCUCUCAUGCAGGAACAUUCGUGCAUGAAGUCCUGAUCCUGCCAUGGAGCACCUGAGGGGAGGAGUCACUGGGUUUCUGGCCCCGGAGGAGCACACUGUUCCCCAGGACUUAACUCUGCAUCCUAUACUGGAAUAUCUGAAAAUUUCAUCACUGUUGAAAAUAGGAAUAUUUUCUGAACUAAGGUCUUCUGAGGACAUUGGGGACACUUUAUUCCCAAGAGCAAACACUGACUAGGAUGUCUUUUUGGCUAUGAUGGGAUCUGGUAGAAAGUUUCAAGUUACUGAAAUAGGGAAUGUAUUCUAAUGUUGUCCUGAAAAUAAACCAAAUACACUUCCCUAAAUGAAAGAAGAGAUGUGUGUGUGUUUAAAUCAUUGAUAGCAGCAGUGAUGAUGGUGACAGUCAGCCGUGCCAUGCCUGGCACUGUGCUAAGUGCUUUAAACACUAUCAUUUGGUCCAGGCGGUAAAUCAUGAGGAAUGGGUGUUAGUGUCCCAAAGCCUCAGGGAGGUUACAGGCCUGACCUGAUCACAGCUGGAGGACCUCACCACACCCCUCCCUGUGGAAGUAGGAAUUCUUCAGCAGGAAAUGGAGUUUUCCCACAGAACACAGGACAGCAGGGAGGAGCGCACUGGGAAUCAUGACUGUGUCACAGCUCCUGCCACUGGGCAAGACUCCAGGCCUCAGUUUCUCCUGUGGUAAAGUGGCGGGAUUGAAUUAGAUGCACUUAAGUAGAUUUCCAGCUCUAAAGAUCUAUGAUUUGAUGUUUCCCUUAUUUCAAUGGAAAACAUUGCUGUCACAAGAAAAACAUGCUGCCAUCAAAAUGUCUUCUGCUCUUGGACAAACGUAAUGGGGUUAAGCAGUGGUUAGGAAACCACUUCUAUAGGGUGAGGGGACAGAUGGAUGAGUGUCCUAACCAGAAUAGGGAAAUGAUUUUAGAACUGAUUUUUCAGGGAUUCUCAGGAUUGUAUUAAUCUAGCUCUAAUUCUGUACCUAGAAUUGGACAGUGCUCAGGACAGGGCAUGUCUAAACCAGGAAGGGGCUUCCCCUCAGCCCCAAACACAGAAUUCAUAUGUCAGAUCUGGAAGGGGACCACAGUGACCACUUAGUCCACCCUUUAUUUUACAUCAGCAUCCCUGGAGACUCCAGCUUGUGGGAGAAAGAGACCUGUGAGGUCACAUGGUCCAAGUUCCUGGAGCAUCUCUGGCAGAGGAGUCUGCAGAUCAGAUGCAGCCUGUACCCGCCAAGUGUACCAUCCCUGCUAAGUGGAUCUUAGUGGAGUAAGGCUUACUUUAGGGAUGUGGAGUGGAGCUUACUGGGAUCUUUCAGCCUCUUUUCCAAUAACUUCUGCAUUAGAGAUUGCGGUGUAACUGAUGAGAACUCUUUUGAGACUUCUUUUUGUACUUAAAGUGGAUGGGGCAGGCUGGUUUAGUACCUAGGGCAAAGAGUCUGGGGUCCUUCUGUUGGUUUAGGAAGCUCCUCUUGUCUGUCUGGCCUGUAUACUUGUGAUUUGCCAGCUUAGUUACAGUGGGAAGUAAUGAAUCCAGGAUUCUCUGCUACUUUUCAGGUGAUAAAUUGUGAUAAAGUCAAGUCAGAAUUUCCUCGCUUAGGUGUUGUGAAAGCCCAGAUGAGGUAUGAUUGAUAAGAUAUUUUGAGUUUUUCACACAGAAGUAAUUUAUAGAUGAUUCCCAACUUUUGAACUGCUCUUUUAUUUAUUAUUAAGUUGGUGUUUCAAACUUAGAAAACUCUAAAUGACAUUUAGUUUUCCAGGCUGGCCUGUUUAAUGCAUAACACAGCUGACACACUAUAUGGUUGCCAUAAAUCGUAACGGAAAAUAGUACUUUUGCAAACAGAUAAUAUAGAAUUGCAGUUGCAGGCUCCCUAAAGGCCUUCAGCAGUUCCAGCCAGCACAUGAACACACUGACACCAAAGCGUAAAAGACAGUUGCCCCAUGCAUCUUUACUGCACUGAGAGGACCUCGCAGAGCAAGAGGUCACUGGCCUCCUGAAACACCACUCCUGGGCUUUUCAGAACUCCCCCAGACCAACGGGUCCAGAGCUGUUAGGAGCCAGGUGGGCAGGGGAAGGCGAAGGCUCUAGGGCCUCUCAGGUUUUGAGCAGGACAUUGUUACCAACCUGCCUUGUGCUCAAAAAAGAUGGGCUGGAGCUGCCCAGCAGAGUAAAUGCUGACCCUUUCUAGGUCAGCAAUUCAAUGCCCAGUGCUGUCUCCAGAGCCUGGCUUUUCCCGAGGUGCAGGCUGGCCCCAGUCACCUGCCUCCUCCAGGCACUGUGCUGUGCUUCUGAGAUCAGGAGUGGAAGCUGGCAGAACCAGGAGCAGGCAACGCACUGGCCUCCACCUUGGCCUGGAACAUACCCACCACGCCCUUGGGAGGUUCAAAUCCCAUCACCCUCUCUGCUGCUUUUCCCUCUUGCAGCGUGUAAACUAAGGUUCCACACUUGGAAAUUCAUGUGUUCCUCUCUUGGGAAAUCUCCUUGCCACCUCCAUCUCCCUGCAUCUUGUGUCCACUGGAGCCUUUCACUGACUGGAGAGAAUGCCCAGUUUAAUCCAGAGUGCUGGGCAGCGUACAUUCAGACUGUGCCCCAGGAAAUCUGACACAAACCGUGUUUCCCAUUGAUUUAAAAAGUUAAGACUCAGUGAUCUAAUGUCACUCAUUAUUAUGUAAUAAAGGCCUAUUAUGGCUAGUAAUUUUUCAGUGACUAACUUAAUUUUACUUAUUAGCGUUCAUUUAAAUCUUAGCCUAUGUAUGUUCAGUGCAAGUACUAAAACCGCCUUUCUUCAAAAAUCAGAAAUUCAAAAUUUGUCAUCAGUCAAGAAUUCCUUCCUUUCCCCUCCUUCAAAAACAUCCAGAGAAGUGAGAUUUUCUCACAUUUGAGCCAAUGAUUGAAUAGAACCAAAUUGGGAGAUGAUUAAUUUUUUAACCAGUAGCACCAAACUGAAAUUAAUUUUACUAAUUUUAAAAUCUGACAGUUUUGAGGACCCUUUAAUAGAACCAGAGCUUCUGAAAGUAAUCACCUACUGAGUCGGUUCAGUGCAGAAAUGACCCCAGGUCUAGAACUGCAGUUUAAGAUGGUUUCCAAACCAAGCUGCGGUUUCAUUUGGAAUGCUCUUUUGAUUUACAUGUUCUGGGUUUUGUAAGUUUAAUUCAAAUUUAUUUUCUCCUAAAUGAAUUUUUACUACCGGAAGGCCCCCAUAUGGAAAUCACCUUCUUUCAUUAUGCAGCUUGCCUGGCCCAGAGGGUGAGCGGACCUUGAAAUGAGAGCACCGCCCUGGCUGGGAGACAGGCCGGUUAGCAUCCAAGGCUGUAGCACAGUGCAGCCCACAGCAAAGGAUGUCCUCGGAAAGGAAAGUGCUUGGGUUUGUGCCUUUGUCCCUUAAGACUGAAUACCCAGAUCUGACAGCAUCUCCUGCAGCAGCAGGGGCUGAUUACCUGGAGCUCUGCCUGCCCCUCUCCCCACCUCUGCCUCCCCCCAGAGAGGCGGCUUCUGAGGAGGCUGCUGUUUGCAGCCAGGAGAAUUCCUUGUCUCUGUGGAACCGGAGGCCUCCCCUCUGCGGCUAUUUAAAUGUGUUCCUCCGGCAUGAGGAUGACUCACCAUUUAACAAUUAAUUACAGCUCCGCAUAUUGUAGGCACUGCACCUACAUGGGGGUGUAAUCUCUGUGCUGCACAAUGUUAAUGAGCUUCUCCACAUUACCAAAUUGUGAGGACUUCAGUUUUAAAAAACAGACAUUGAACCAGAUUUGGAGGAAAAGGCGAAUUUAUACUAUGUCUUUGAUACAAAUUCUUUUCAUUUUCUACUCUGUGGCUUGCAGUUUCCACCAGGGUAAGGGAGGCAGAGGUGGGAGGUGAGGAGGGAGAGACAGGGGGUCCUGGCUAGUGAGGGAUCAGGCAAGGAAGCUACCUACUACACGCUGUCACCCGGGGCUGCCAUGGCUGGCCCUCAUUUGCACCACACCAGCGAGAGGCAUCAUCAUCUUAGGUGAUUUUAAGUUUUGAAGGUGAGGAUGCAUUUUACCAUAUGCCAAUUUUUCUUAAUCACAUGUUAUGGUUUAUUAUCCACAGAUCUUUAAAGGACAUUUCCUGUAGUAAAUAUUUGAACCUUUAUAAACUAAGUAUUGGCUGCAUAAAGUCCUCUCUCCAGAGAUUUGUUGCGAGUUUGUGCUUUUUGAGAUGCACCGAGUGGCUCCAGGUCAUUCAGUCAUGAUCAUGACAUCUUGACAGACUUUUAGGCGUGAAUCCCCCUGAUCUCUGUCUUGCUGCCUUCCUCACACCAACCAUGGAUUAUACUUUCUCAGUAUCCAGUUUCUUCUGGUACCAGGAGAGGGCCACCACCCCUUUGUGGCCUCAGGGGCAUUGCACGUGCUACAGCUGACCCUUGCACAGUACGGGUUUGAACUGUGCGGGUCACUUACACAUGGGUUUCCUUCUGCCUCUGCCAUCCUUGAGAUGGGAAAACCAACCUCCCUUUCCUCCCCCUCAAUCUGCACCACAUGAAGAUGAUGAAAACCUUUACGAUGGUCCACUUGUACUUCAUAAACAGUAAAUAUAUUUUUUCUUCCUUAGAAUUUUCUUAAUAACAUUCUUUUCUCUAGCUUACUUUACCAUGAGAAUACAACAUAAAAUACAUAAACAUAUAAAAUAUGUAUUCAUUGACUGUUUAUCCUGUUGGUGAGCCUUGCAGUCAGUAGUAAGCUAUGAGUAGUUAAGUUUGUGGGGAGCAAGAAGUUACCUUGGAGUUUUGAUUGGGAGGGGGUCAGCGCCCCCAGCCCCCUUGUUGUUCAAGGGUAAACUACAUUCUGUCUACUUGGACUGCCCUUCCCAAAGGCAUUGUCCUGCUCCCUUUUCCUCCAUCAGGUCCCAGAGCAUGCGUUACCACCACAGGGAGGCCUCUGCAGAUGCCUGUCUAAGGAGGAAAAGGCAACUUUAUGCUAUGUCUUUGUUACGAAUUCUUUUCCUUUUCUACUCUGUGGCUUGUAGUUUCCAUUUGCUUGAGCCGGGAGGUCAAGGCUACAGUGAGCCAGGACCACACCACUGCUGCACUCCAGUCUGAGCAACAGAGUGAGACCCUCUUGCAAUAAGAAUAAAAAAGGGCUACCAUCCUCCCAGCUCCUCGCUUCCAGCAAUCACUCAGGAUCCAAUUUUUCUGCCUUAUUUUUUUCAUAGCACAAUUACUAUCUGAAAUGAUCUCAUUUAUUUACUUGUUUUCUGCCUCCCACCAGAAUGUUCCCUGUUCUCUGCUGUAUCCUUAGCACCGAGCAGUGCCUGCACGUGGUGAACACUCAACAAAAACUUCUUAUAAGAUGAAUGAGUGGAUGGCCCCUAGAUUCUGUUAUAUUAUUAUUAUUAUUAAAUCCAAGCCACACUCAGGAGUUUCACUGUAUCAAUAUAUCCAUUAGGAAAGUUAGUAAUGUGUAAAAGCUCUCCUGUGAAUGCGUUCAUUCAGUACUCUUACGGUGCUUAACCCCGUCUAUAAGGCGUAAAUCCUUCAGCAGAUUCUUAGGGAGUGUUUACCAAGUGUCAGGCACUGGUCUAGAGCAGUGGUUCCAACCUGCGAUGAUUUUGCCCCCCAGGGGCAACUGUCAAUGUCUAGGGACAGUUUUGGUUGUCAGGAUGGGUGGCAAGUUGCUACUGGCCUAUAGUGGGUAGAGGCCAGGGAUGCCGCUAAACAUCUGGCCACACACAGGACAGCCCCCCAACAAAGAAUUAUCUGGCACAAAAUGUCCAUAGUGUGAGGUUGAGAAACCUUGUUCUGGAGUCUGAGGAUCCAGUGGUGAUGGGGAAAGGCUCCUACUCCCAUGAAGCUUAUAUUCUGUCACGGGGACUGGGAUAGAUACCCAAUAAACAAAUGAGAUUAUUCCAGGAAUGACAAGGGCUGACAAAGAAAUCAAAUUGAAUGUUGAGAUGGUAGCUCGAGAGUUACUUAGACCGUGGGACUGGGGAAGGGUUUCUGAGGGGUGGCAUGGGAGCUGGGACCCCUCCAGAUGAGCUAGAGGCAGCGCUGGAAAUCUGGCAGACCCUACCAGGAGGAGGGGGACAGCAAGUGCUAAUGGGGAAGGGGACAGCUUUCCAAAGGUUCUAAGGUUUAGGUUGGUUU